UGCACACAGCAGGGGGGUUGAAACUAGAUGAUCAUUUUCAAACCAGGCCAUUCAAUGAUUCUAUGAUGGUUGGUGUUGUCAAUAUAUAGUUUCCUUUGUUACCUGCUGGAGCUCAGUACAUGUCAAGACCCAUUAUCAAAAUACUGCCAUAAGAACUUAGAGUGAAAAUACAAAAUCAAAAUUUUCAAGUUUUAUUUAUUUUGGUUAUCUAUCAUAAUACUGUAAUUUUCAUCCACACUUCCAAUCACAAUAUAAACAGAAAAUCUACUUUUAGCUCAUCUGUAUAGAAGAUUCCACCUGCUUUUGUAAUGCAAUGUAAAAGUUCCUGAAGAUGGAAAAAUAUGCUUAUCUUGUCAAGUACUCAAGAAGUUUCUUUCACAACACCACACAAGUUGCACUGCUUAAGCUGCUUUAAAUAGAAGUAAUUUAAUUCUGAUAAACAGAACUAGAAAGUUUGAGAGAAUUAACAGUAACUCUUAAAUUUCUGACCAGUAACUCUAACAAUAAAACUGUUUCUACAUUUACCGUGCAGAAUUAAAUAAUCACACGGAAAGAAAGCUAAUAUUAUAAAUAGCCUGUACUUGCAUUAGAUAAGUAAAAGGGAUAAAGGUUUAUUUAUCAAAUCUUCUACAUGUUGCUCAUGUUUGUGCUGGUGGUCUUAUAUACGUCACACAGUUUUGAAUGUUAAGUUGUUAGAUCAACACAAGUAUUGCCUGAGAUCCAGAAGAGCUGCUGUGCUAAUUCGGAAUAUAACCAGCACUUGAAGAAUGGUAUCACACACCAAUGCAGGAGAAGAUUUUCAAAUCACAACCUAGCUCCAUUUCAAUAAAUCUCUCUGUUUACGGAUAUACAAAAAAGUAAAAUCUGACUAAACACAAUACCUCAAAUUCCCUGAGCAAAGCAGCUCAAAUCUGUCUAAUCUCUUUUACACAAGGUCUGAAAAACCUAUCUUGUGCACCAACAACUACACAGUCAAUCUGAACUUCCACAUACCUAUUUAAGCACUCUGUAGAAAAGAUAAGCACAAAUGAUUGCAUUAAUUUAAUGCAAGACCAUCUUUAAUUGGUAAAAAACCACUUAGGAGAAGCCGCUCCUGAUCAUAGGGAAAAAUAGCUGUUAAUGUUAAGACAAAUGAGACCCAUCUGUCAUUAUUCAUAUUUUCUAAAAAAGCUUUCAAGUGGCUACACCUCUCUUCUACAAGCCACCAAAACAAGCUUUAAGGGGACAAGCUCCUCCUAAGUAGACAAGAUUUGGGAUUUCUGAUCUCACCCCAUUGUGACAGGUUACAGUGCUGAACAAGGAAUCUGUAUAUGCUGAAGAACAUGAUGGCAAGGAAAGAAAAUUCCCGAGAAAGUGAGCACUGUUUCACUCUAUUUAGACCACAGUUUCUCUCAGAGAAAGCUCUGCUACCCUCCCUACCACCCCAGCAGAGGGCUGCAUCAAGGAUACCCAAUCAGCAGAUGCACCUAUCUCAGAUAUAAAAGGGGACAAGGUAGGCCUGUUCAGCAAGAACUGAUCUGCUGAAAAGCCAAAGAUUAGGCUUAGGUCUUCAUUUCUUUGAGGCAGUUGAUGGCUGUAAACCAGAACAAAUGAUUUAGUUUGGGUUCAAAAACUGAAGAAUUCAUGAGCAAAAGAAAAAAAAACACAGAAACUGAAGCAAAAAGCAGCACCAAAAAAUAAGCAAGAUUUAUCUUCCAGCUGAACUGUUAAUCACGUUUCUAGCUUAACAGUUUGAUCACUGUUACUGCACACAAAAUUAAUUAAAUUAAAAUUUAAUAAAGGUAUGUAAGUUGCUCCAAAAGUAAUACCUCCUAUUUAUUCCCAUAGAAACCUACAACAGAUAGGAAGAACAAAACACUGCUUGAUAGAGAAAAUUAUCAGCUUCAAAACACUAUAAAACAGAAGGCAUUACUUUUGAAGCAGCCCUCAUAGAAUUAUAUAGUUGCAUAUCAAAGAAGAGAGCCUUCUAUGCAACUGAGCAGUGAUUUUUCCAAACAUUAGCUUUCAUUCUGUACGUACAUAAUAAAUCACAUUAUGAUACAUUUCUAUAUCAUUAAUAAAAGGAGCAGAAUUAGAACAUACAAAGUUUGCACCACCUGAGAACAUUUGUUUUUAUCUAUUACAAAGAGUUUUUUUCUAAUUUUAAAUUAAAGAUAUCAAGUAUCAACAUGCACCUAAGAAUUCCACUAAGGAGCAAGGAAGCAUCACAAGAACAUUACCGUGACAUGACCUAACAAACACUUUGACACAAAAGUAGAUCAACUUUUUAAAUUACUUUCUUUGGAUGGAAAUGAAAUACUCAUUUAUUUCUGUACUUGGUGAGUCACAGCAUGCUGAAGAGCUUUAGUCGAAUUUCAUAGAAUAGUUUCUUUAAAAUUAAGAAUUUACAUUUGAUGUACCUAAUGAAAGUACUCUUUCACAGUUUGUCCUUCCAAACUCUUUAACCUUCCCUGUCGUUAGGGUUGACUGAUAAGCCACCAGCUGUUUUCUUCCUACUGCUACAAUGCAUUCUCUUCCUUUUUAAGGCUAGUAUACCCAAGCAGGAAACAGGACUUUAGCCAGCUGCUAGAAUGUCACAAUCCUAUAUAUUUAGCUCUCAUCUCAUUUACUGCCAUCCCUCAGUGUCAGCCACUUAAUGUCCCUUUCACUCCAGUCCACUGACAUUCCUCAUCGAGCUGACAACAACGCCGGCUGGAUCAGCAGCUAUGAGUACAAGAACACACAACAACAAAGCACAGACCUUAUCAGUUAUCAGAGACAAAAGCCAUGACACGUCAAACACAGUCAAGGAGCUUUUAAAAGGAAGGAGAUAAACAGACAUUACAUUCUGUUUGUCGAAGGAGACCAACGCAGCUCAUUUUCAUUGCAACAGAAGAGGAACUACUCCCCACUUCCAGCAGGAAAAAAGUUGAUUAAAAAGUUACCAAAAAGCUUUACAAGGUGCUUCAGGUCCAUACACUAAUUAGUCCAUUAGCAGUAGCUCGCAUCUCCAGCCCUAUAGAUGCUACAAAGCCAGAUUUCCAGGUUUCUCUCCUGUUCAAUUUGUGCAUCCACUAUUACCUUGCAAAAAAAGGAAAUCCUUUGGAAAGGCUGACAAGCCUUCCAGGUCUCAAGAACAACAAUUUGCACUUGUGGAAGGGAGGAAAAAAAA